ACCUAUAGCCGUACCACCCUGAGUGCUCUAUUCUCGUCUUAUUUCAGAAGCUAAGCAAGGCCCCAGCCUACUUAGUGCUUGGAUGGGAAAUCACCUUGGAAUAAUGGGUGCUGUCGGCC
ensembl:rRNA 5S_rRNA 5S ribosomal RNA